CUUUCCCUCUUUCUUUAGGCCUAACACAUGCAAGUCGAACGGCAGCACAGUAAGAGCUUGCUCUUACGGGUGGCGAGUGGCGGACGGGUGAGGAAUACAUCGGAAUCUACUUUUUCGUGGGGGAUAACGUAGGGAAACUUACGCUAAUACCGCAUAUGACCUACGGGUGAAAGCAGGGGAUCUUCGGACCUUGCGCGAUUGAAUGAGCCGAUGUCGGAUUAGCUAGUUGGCGGGGUAAAGGCCCACCAAGGCGACGAUCCGUAGCUGGUCUGAGAGGAUGAUCAGCCACACUGGAACUGAGACACGGUCCAGACUCCUACGGGAGGCAGCAGUGGGGAAUAUUGGACAAUGGGCGCAAGCCUGAUCCAGCCAUACCGCGUGUGUGAAGAAGGCCUUCGGGUUGUAAAGCCCUUUUGUUGGGAAAGAAAAGCAGCAGGUUAAUACCCCGCUGUUCUGACGGUACCCAAAGAAUAAGCACCGGCUAACUUCGUG
rnacentral:rRNA from 1 species